rnacentral:lncRNA from 1 species
CAAAAAUAUAAAUAUUAAUCUCAGGCUGGUGAGAGGGCUCAGUGGUUAGCAGUGCUUGCUGCCAAGCCUGAAGACCCAACCUUGAUCCCUGGACCUUCAUGGUAAAAGGAGAAAAUUGACUCUGGCAAGCUGUCCUCUGACACCCCCAUGCACACCACAGCACACACACACACACACACACACACACACCAACACUGAGUAAACAAAAGCAACAAAACUUUUGUUGCUUUUGGAAAACAAGGGUGUCAUGGAAGAACAGGAGGCUACUUAACUCUGCACCUUUAGAAGGAAUCUUCCAGAAGGCACUGCUCAGUGUGAGUUCUUAUAGUGGUUGAUCUUGACUGUCAACCUGGCAGGAUUUAGAGUCACCAUGGAAACAAAUACGAGCCAUGUGAUGGGGUUUCUGGAUUAGGUUAACUGGGCUGGUCUUAAUUGCGAAGGUCUUCCACCUAACCUGUAUGUGAGCAAUACCACCCCGUGGUCUGGAUAAGCAAACCAAGCAACAGCAACCACACCUCUGCUUCCUGAUUGGAUGCCAUGUGACCAGCUGCUCAAGCUCCUGCAGCUGUGACCGUAGCCUGAACUGGGGACCCAAAUCAUCUUUAAUUGCAUUAAUUGCUUUCAUUAGGUUCUUUGUCAUGGCAGGACAAGUGACUACUACAACUUCCCCUCGUCCACCUUGCCUCCUGCUCUGUCUACACCUAGCUCUUUUGUUAAUGACAGAAUCAUUUCUAGGUCACUCAUAUGGGGACUCAACCACAGCUGAGAGGUGGUUGCGAUGUCUCGUGUGUCUGUGGAGAGCAACUCGACCAGCUCACGGGUGUCGGGCUCACAUUCAAAGAAAGCUCAACCUUCGUAACAACACAAGCUGUAAUGGCAGCACCAGGGGAUGGAGGCAAGAAGACAAGGCAAGCUUCAGGCCAGCCUGGGCUACCAAAACCAAAAAACAAAAAACCUAACCCAAUUCGUAAAAUCAAAUCAGAUUCAAUC